rnacentral:rRNA from 1 species
ACGUAGGUGGCAAGCGUUGUCCGGAAUUACUGGGUGUAAAGGGAGCGUAGGCGGGAAUACAAGUUGAAUGUGAAAACUAUGGGCUCAACCCAUAGUUGCGUUCAAAACUGUGUUUCUUGAGUGAAGUAGAGGUAAGCGGAAUUCCUAGUGUAGCGGUGAAAUGCGUAAAUAUUAGGAGGAACACCAGUGGCGAAGGCGGCUUACUGGGCUUUAACUGACGCUGAGGCUCGAAAGCGUGGGUAGCAAACAG